AAGAGAGCUUAAUGGGCUUAAGUUUCGUUGUGUUCCUUUCGCUAAAAAUUCAAAUCAAAGUCUAACUGUUAAAAUAUGGCAAAAGUAAAUCAGAACACUUUAGACUUUCGAAGCUGACGGUUGAUUUUUAAAAAAGAAAAAAAGCGUUCUUAUUCUGUACAUCUAUAGUUAAUUGUUACAUAGUAUAAGGAAAAAAUUAAAUAAAACAACAAGAAAUACUAGUAACAAAGGAAACGGAAACGGUGCGGUUAGAAAGCAAAAAUAUAAAUAAUAUGUAUAUAACAACCAUAUAAACGAAUUAAUAUUGUAUUUAUUUAGGCGUGAGUGUGUGUAUGAAACGAAAACAACAGCUGUAUUUGUGAAUGUUGGUUAAAAAGUGUCUAUGAGAGUGUACAUGUAUGUAUGUACAUACAUAUGCUUGUAUAGAAUGUGUUACCAAUAAAUAUGUAAAUUUUUUGGCAACAAGAAAAAAAGUGGUUUACCUUUAUAGAUAGAUUGGUAGUUAAAAAAAGCAAUGGAAAUAUAAAGUAAAUGAAAUACAUACAACAAAAUAAAAAUGAAAAAUAAUAGAAAUUCUUUAAAAGUAAAUGAAAUGUAAAAAUUAAUAUCUUUAGUAAGUUCAAAUGAGGUUUUCAAUAUGGCCAAGUAUGUCAAAAGAAAAUUAAAUUUAAACACGUUGUGUAAUAAACCAGAAAAACUUUAAUAAAUUAAGUAAAAUAAUGUCUAAAAUUUCAUAAUGUCUCAACCUGGUAAACGCGGAGGAAGAGGUGCGGCCGCUAAGGGAAUAGGUCGUAAUACACCCUCCUCUGUAACAAGUGGCGCGACUAGUAAUACUCCCGAUGAAUCGGUAGUGGCCAGUGACCGAAAUACUCCUGCCAGUAAAGCUGAGUCCGAUCCCAAAGAUGAUAGUUCGAGUAAUGGCGAUCGUAAAGAAAUCGAUGGCGCUCCUACACCAAAGCCACCAAGUGCAGGAGCUUCCAUACGUGAGUCAGCGAAUAAAAUUUUAGCGUUAUCUAUGAAAGGAGAAUGGACGCCAGUGGAGCAAGAGUUAAAGAAAUUAGAAAAAUAUGUUGCCAAUCAAGGGGAAGAUGGGAAUACGAUACCAUUGGCUGGAAUACAUGACGUGAAUACCGGCAUGACACCUCUAAUGUUUGCCACCAAAGACAAUAAAACUUCAAUCAUGGAUCGUAUGAUUGAACUGGGAGCGGAUGUUGGUGCUAGGAAUAAUGACAAUUACAAUGUGUUGCAUAUUGCAGCCAUGUAUUCGCGUGAGGAUGUCGUAAAACUGUUGCUAAAUAAACGAGGAGUUGAUCCAUUUUCAACUGGAGGGUCUCGGGCACAGACAGCGGUGCAUUUGGUAUCGAGUCGUCAAACUGGUACAGCAACCAAUAUCUUAAGAGCUUUAUUGGCAGCAGCUGGCAAGGAUAUACGUUUAAAAGCGGACGGGAGAGGGAAAGUUCCACUCCUUUUGGCUGUAGAAGCGGGAAAUCAGUCUAUGGUUAGAGAAUUAUUGGCAGCACAAACGGCUGAUCAACUAAAGGCUACGGCAGCCAAUGGAGACACAGCCUUGCAUUUGGCUGCCAGGCGGCGGGAUGUUGAUAUGGUACGCAUAUUGGUGGACUAUGGCACUAAUGUUGAUACACAAAAUGGUGAAGGGCAAACACCUCUACACAUAGCGGCAGCUGAAGGAGAUGAAGCAUUGUUAAAGUACUUUUAUGGUGUAAGAGCAUCUGCUUCAAUAGCGGAUAAUCAAGAUCGAACUCCUAUGCAUUUGGCUGCUGAGAAUGGUCAUGCUCAUGUUAUUGAAAUUUUAGCCGAUAAAUUUAAAGCCAGUAUAUUUGAGCGAACCAAAGAUGGCAGUACAUUAAUGCAUAUUGCUUCUCUUAAUGGCCACGCAGAAUGUGCCACUAUGCUUUUCAAGAAAGGAGUUUACCUGCAUAUGCCCAAUAAAGAUGGAGCUCGUAGUAUCCAUACAGCUGCUGCUUAUGGCCAUACCGGCAUUAUUAAUACUCUCUUGCAAAAAGGGGAAAAAGUCGAUGUAACAACUAAUGAUAAUUACACAGCUUUACAUAUAGCGGUCGAAGCAUGCAAACCAGCAGUGGUUGAGACACUACUUGGUUUUGGAGCCGAUGUUCAUGUCCGGGGUGGUAAAUCUCAUGAGACUCCCUUACAUUUAGCCGCACGAGUUAAGGAUGGAGAUCGUUGUGCUUUAAUGCUCCUUAAGUCCGGUGCUAGUCCCAAUUUAACUACCGAUGAUGGCCUGACGCCGGUACAUUUUGCCGCCCGUCAUGGUAAUCUGGCAACGCUGAUGCAACUUCUCGAAGAUGGUGGCGAUCCCCUUUAUAAGUCCAAUACUGGCGAAACUCCUUUGCAUAUGGCCUGUCGCGCCUGUCAUCCUGAGAUUGUUAAACAUCUGAUUGAAACUGUGAAAGAGAAACAUGGAUCCGACAAAGCCACUUCUUACAUAAAUACCGUUAAUGAAGAUGGUGCCACUGCGCUACAUUUUACUUGCCAAAUUACUAAAGAAGAAGUUAAAAUACCCGAGUCCGAUAAAGAAAUAGUGAGUAUGUUGCUGGAGAAUGGUGCUGAUGUUACAUUGCAGACUAAAAAUGCUCUGGAAACUGCCUUCCAUUAUUGUGCGAUGGCGGGCAACAAUGACGUAUUAAUGGAAAUGAUCGCCCACAUGAAUCCGACGGACAUACAGAAGGCCAUGAACCGUCAGUCGUCCAUAGGAUGGACGCCCUUACUGAUUGCCUGUCAUAGAGGGCAUAUGGAACUGGUCAACAACCUUUUAGCGAAUCAUGCCAGAGUUGAUGUAUUCGAUAUCGAGGGUCGUUCUGCUUUGCAUUUGGCUGCCGAACGAGGGUAUCUGCAUGUAUGCGAUGCUCUAUUGACUAAUAAGGCUUUUAUCAAUUCGAAAUCUCGAGUUGGUCGCACGGCGUUACAUCUGGCCGCGAUGAACGGCUUCACUCAUCUUGUGAAGUUUCUCAUCAAGGAUCACAAUGCAGUUAUUGACAUUUUAACAUUACGCAAACAAACGCCACUUCAUCUGGCUGCGGCCAGCGGUCAGAUGGAGGUAUGUCAGCUCUUGUUAGAAUUGGGAGCUAACAUAGACGCGACCGAUGACUUGGGACAGAAACCCAUACAUGUCGCCGCGCAGAACAACUACUCAGAAGUGGCCAAAUUGUUUCUGCAGCAACAUCCAUCACUGGUAAAUGCUACUAGUAAAGAUGGAAAUACCUGUGCCCAUAUUGCUGCCAUGCAGGGUUCUGUUAAGGUGAUCGAGGAACUAAUGAAGUUCGAUCGAUCUGGCGUGAUAUCUGCUAGAAAUAAAUUGACUGACGCGACACCAUUACAAUUAGCAGCAGAAGGAGGUCAUGCAGAUGUAGUGAAGGCGUUGGUUAGAGCUGGAGCAUCAUGUACGGAGGAGAAUAAAGCCGGAUUUACAGCUGUGCAUUUGGCGGCUCAGAACGGCCAUGGCCAGGUAUUGGACGUUUUGAAAAGUACAAAUUCUUUGAGGAUCACCAGCAAGAAAUUGGGACUGACACCGUUGCAUGUGGCAGCCUACUAUGGACAGGCGGAUACGGUGCGAGAACUUCUUACUAGUGUACCGGCCACAGUAAAAUCAGAAACGCCGACAGGACAAAGUUUGUUUGGUGAGUUGGGUACAGAAUCGGGGAUGACUCCCCUACAUUUGGCAGCAUAUUCAGGCAACGAGAACGUAGUACGAUUACUGCUGAACUCAGCCGGAGUGCAGGUGGAUGCAGCUACCACAGAGAAUGGUUACAAUCCUCUUCAUUUGGCGUGCUUCGGUGGUCACAUGUCAGUGGUUGGUUUACUUCUGAGUCGCUCGGCAGAACUUCUCCAGUCUACAGAUCGCCAUGGUCGCACUGGUUUACACAUAGCUGCUAUGCAUGGUCAUUUUCAGAUGGUGGAGAUUUUGCUGGGUCAAGGCGCAGAAAUAAAUGCAACUGACAAAAAUGGUUGGACGCCACUGCAUUGUGCUGCCAAAGCCGGUCACUUAGAAGUGGUGAAACUUUUGUGUGAGGCUGGAGCCUCUCCAAAAUCUGAAACCAAUUACGGUUGUGCCCCUAUAUGGUUUGCUGCUUCCGAAGGACACAAUGACGUUCUCAGGUAUCUAAUGAAUAAGGAACAUGACACCUAUGGUUUGAUGGACGACAAACGCUUUGUAUACAACUUGAUGGUGGUCUCGAAAAAUCACAACAAUAAACCGAUACAGGAAUUUGUUUUGGUUUCGCCUGCACCCGUAGAUACAGCUGCCAAAUUAUCUAACAUUUAUAUGAUUUUAUCCACUAAGGAAAAAGAGCGUGCUAAGGAUCUAGUAGCAGCUGGCAAACAAUGUGAGGCUAUGGCGACCGAACUAUUGGCCUUAGCCGCCGGUUCUGACUCUGCGGGAAAAAUUUUACAAGCGACCGAUAAAAGAAAUGUGGAGUUUUUAGAUGUAUUAAUAGAAAAUGAACAGAAAGAGGUUAUAGCCCAUACAGUGGUACAAAGAUAUCUGCAGGAAUUGUGGCGAGGUUCCUUGACAUGGGCUUCCUGGAAAAUAUUGCUACUACUAGUAGCAUUUAUAAUCUGCCCACCCGUUUGGAUUGGUUUUACCUUUCCCAUGGGUCACAAAUUUAACAAAGUGCCUAUUAUAAAAUUUAUGUCUUACCUCACCUCGCACAUCUAUCUAAUGAUCCAUCUCAGUAUUGUGGGUAUAACUCCAAUUUAUCCGGUGCUUCGACUAAGCUUGGUCCCCUACUGGUACGAAAUAGGCCUGCUCAUUUGGUUGAGCGGUUUACUUUUGUUCGAGUUGACAAAUCCUUCAGAUAAAUCGGGAUUGGGAUCUAUAAAAUUGUUAGUGCUGCUGUUGGGAAUGGCCGGUGUUGGAGUUCAUGUAACGGCCUUCUGCUUCGUGUCCAAAGAAUAUUGGCCAACGCUUAUAUAUUGUCGCAAUCAAUGCUUUGCUUUGGCCUUCUUGCUUGCAUGUGUACAAAUUUUAGACUUCCUCUCGUUCCAUCAUCUCUUUGGGCCCUGGGCCAUUAUUAUUGGCGAUUUGCUCAAGGAUUUGGCGAGAUUUUUGGCUGUGUUAGCUAUAUUCGUUUUCGGCUUUUCUAUGCACAUAGUAGCUCUGAAUCAAUCAUUUGCCAAUUUUACUCCCGAGGAGUUAAGAUCGUUUGAAAAGAAGAAUCGUAAUCGUGGAUAUUUCAGUGACGAUGACAUGCCCACACCUCGCCCACCGCCUGCAGAGAACUAUGUUGACUCUAGUCGCAGUAUGUUGAGUGAAUUUCGCCGCAAGCAUAAAGAUGAUCCACACAAAUUAAAACAAUUAAAGCAAGCCAACGGUACAGCACCUACUGACAUUUUAAUUGUUGUCAAAAAACACACUUCAGAUCAUUAAGGAAUUUUCUAAUUAAUAAAUAUCCUACCAAUUCCUUUACUACCAAUCAUGCUCAAUUAAUUAAAUUUUCAAAUGAAUGCAAUUAAUUUGUGCAUUAAAUGAAAAUCCGUUCAAAAAAUCAAGGACCAAUGACACCUUUUUUGGCAUUUGAAAGACUGUUUUUUGCGGUUUUUGGUCAAACUACCACCGUGGAUAUAAAUCCAAUGCGCCACUUAAGACCCGAAUGGACUGAGGUCCUAUUCAAAUUUGUAUUUGGCAUCUAUCUACUAGUGUCUGUGGUUGUUCUCAUAAAUCUACUCAUUGCCAUGAUGUCGGAUACUUAUCAGCGAAUUCAGAUUCCAUGGCCUUAUCAGUGGUACACUUAUCACCGUUGGGUUCUCAAACCAGUUUUUCGGCUGCCAACCAAAAUCGCAUUGAAAACGUUGCUGACUGGGAAGCUAUUGCCAAAAAGUACCGUGCUCUCAUGGGAG
rnacentral:misc_RNA from 1 species